UACAGAGGGGGCGAGCGUUGUUCGGAAUUACUGGGCGUAAAGGGCGCGUAGGCGGCCUGCUAAGUCAUACGUGAAAUCCCUCGGCUCAACCGGGGAACUGCGUGUGAUACUGGCGGGCUUGAAUUCGGGAGAGGGAUGCGGAAUUCCAGGUGUAGCGGUGAAAUGCGUAGAUAUCUGGAGGAACACCGGUGGCGAAGGCGGCAUCCUGGACCGAUAUUGACGCUGAGGUGCGAAAGCGUGGGGAGCAAACAGG
rnacentral:rRNA from 1 species